GUGGGCUCUCGUGCUCAUCCUCGGGAUGCUGGCCGCCCUGGAGAUGGGAUACAUCCUCCACUCGGAGCUGACGCUUCGCCGGGCGGGGGCGGGGGCGCGGGCGCCAGCGCCGGCGAGCUCGUGGGGUUACCCCACCGCGCCGCCGCUGCGCUGACCCAUUCGUGAGGCGCGGACUACGAGGAACACAGGCCAGAGGCGCGGACUACGUUGGUUAACCUUUUCUUCUGCAUUACAGAGGCUCCUGCUAGCUAUUUGAGUUCAUGCUUGGGUGAUCUGAGGGAAAUCCAGAGAAGUUUUCUAUAGAUCCAGCUUCAUGCAUGAGUUCCAUGAGAAGAUUUACAAGGAGACGUCCGACGACAAGCAAGGAUAUGAAGUAACACAAUGCAGUGGAAAUCUCUGAUUAAAGAAGGCAGCAAGACGACUGUGGAGCUUCUGCUUUCCCGCGUUCGUGCUUCGGCAAGCAAUAUUUGGCUGGUCUACGCUCUGAUGCUCAGCAGCCUUCCUAGCUGGCAUUCCUAAUAUUCGGUGUCGUCUUCGUCUCCCUACUCUGGCGCCUGGCCUUUGCCGUGUGGGUUCGUGGGCCUGCGUGCCUAUUUGCCAGUUGUGGCCUUGUUUUAGAGCACUCUGUCCUUUUGAGCUUGUUGGUUUAUCAUUGUCGGUAUCGUUGUUUGUGCUAGUCCGUUGCCAUAUGGCUUUAUUAAUUUAAAGUCGAGCCACGGUCUUUUCUCUAAAAAGAAUAAUGUAGCAUUUCGGAGUUAAUAUUAUACCUUGAAUAACCUUACU